rnacentral:lncRNA from 1 species
UUUUAUACUGUACCAAUGAGCAGAUUUUUAGAAUGAAGCAAUUAAGUUUGCUGAUUUGCACCACCCAAAUGUGGUACUUUUUAUGGUGUCGUGCAUGAUGGGCUUGGGAGAUCUAUGGCCACAAUAACAGAACAUAUGGCCAAUGGUUCGCUCAUAAGUGCUUUGUUGAAGAAUGAAAAGUAACAAUUGUUCUCAUUUGUUUGCUGUUUAAUUGGCUAUUCUUUUCUUUUGUUAUUUGUGUAUUUUUCUUUUUGUUCCUUGACUCAAGUCCUUUUUAUUGUUUUAUAUUGUACCAGUGAGAAGAUUUUUAGAAGUAACAGAAUUUAUGGCUAAUGGUUCGCUCAUAAAUGCUUUGUUGAAGAAUGAAAAGUAACAAUUGUUCUCACUUUUCAUAUGUUUAAUUUAAUUUGUUAGAAGUUAGUUGCAGUAUAAUGUAUCUUCACCCUUAUAUUAAGCAUAAAAUACAAUUGAUGCAGGAGUCGUGAAAAGCGGAAGCACCUCUUGAUUGCUAUGAAUGCGGCUUUUGGAAUGGAACACCU